AACACACUCCCUCCAUCUGAAAAAUCUUGUCGCUCAAAUGGAUGUAUCUAGCAUCAAAUUAGUGCUAGAUACAUCCAUUUGAGGGAAAAGAUUGGGGCAAGCCUUUUUGGACGGAGGGAGUAUAAG
rfam:Triticum aestivum genome assembly, contig: Triticum_aestivum_CS42_TGACv1_scaffold_289822_4AL